rnacentral:rRNA from 1 species
UACGAAGGGUGCAAGCGUUACUCGGAAUUACUGGGCGUAAAGCGUGCGUAGGUGGUUCGUUAAGUCUGAUGUGAAAGCCCUGGGCUCAACCUGGGAAUGGCAUUGGAUACUGGCGACCUAGAGUGCGGUAGAGGGGUGUGGAAUUCCCGGUGUAGCAGUGAAAUGCGUAGAUAUCGGGAGGAACAUCUGUGGCGAAGGCGACACCCUGGACCAGCACUGACACUGAGGCACGAAAGCGAGGGGAGCAAACAGG